rnacentral:rRNA from 1 species
UGAGGAAUAUUGGACAAUGGGUGAGAGCCUGAUCCAGCCAUCCCGCGUGAAGGACGACUGCCCUAUGGGUUGUAAACUUCUUUUAUACUGGGAUAAACCUACCCUCGUGAGGGUAGCUGAAGGUACAGUAUGAAUAAGCACCGGCUAACUCCGUGCCAGCAGCCGCGGUAAUACGGAGGGUGCAAGCGUUAUCCGGAUUUAUUGGGUUUAAAGGGUCCGUAGGCGGGCUCGUAAGUCAGUGGUGAAAUCUCAUAGCUUAACUAUGAAACUGCCAUUGAUACUGCGGGUCUUGAGUAAAGUAGAAGUGGCUGGAAUAAGUAGUGUAGCGGUGAAAUGCAUAGAUAUUACUUAGAACACCAAUUGCGAAGGCAGGUCACUAUGUUUUAAC